GACGAACGCUGGCGGCGUGCUUAACACAUGCAAGUCGAACGGACAGGCCCUGCUUUUGUGGGGUGCUCGUGUGGCGCACGGGUGAGUAUCACGUGUGUAAACUCCCCUUGACUUUGGGAUAACUUCAGGAAACUGGGGCUCAUACCGGAUAGGAGCUCUUGCUGCAUGGUGGGGGUUGGUAAGUUUCGGCGGUUGGGGAUGGACUGGCGGCUUACCAGCUUGUUGGUGGGGUAGGUGCAUACAACGGUUUCGAAGGGUAGCCGGCCUGAGAGGGUAGCCGGCCACAUUGGGACUGAGAUACGGACCAGACGCGUACGGUAGGCAGCAGUGGGGAAUAUUACACAGUGGGCGGAAGCCUGAGGCAGCAACGCCGCGUGCGUGAUGACGUCCUUCGGGUUGUAAACCGCUUUCGCCUGUGACGAAGCGUGAGUGACGGUAAUAGAUAAAAAAGCACCGGCUAACUACGUG
rnacentral:rRNA from 1 species